UACGUAUGGUGCAAGCGUUAUCCGGAAUCACUGGGCGUAAAGGGUACGUAGGCGGUGAUGCAAGUCAGAAGUGAAAGGCUACGGCUCAACCGUAGUAAGCUUUUGAAACUGCAUGACUAGAGUUCAGGAGAGGUAAGUGGAAUUCCUAGUGUAGAGGUGAAAUUCGUAGAUAUUAGGAGGAACACCAGUGGCGAAGGCGACUUACUGGACUGAUACUGACGCUGAGGUACGAAAGCGUGGGGAGCGAACAGG
rnacentral:rRNA from 1 species